CGUGGGCAAUCUGCCCUUCACUCUGGGACAAGCCCUGGAAACGGGGUCUAAUACCGGAUAACACUCUGUCCCGCAUGGGACGGGGUUGAAAGCUCCGGCGGUGAAGGAUGAGCCCGCGGCCUAUCAGCUUGUUGGUGGGGUAAUGGCCUACCAAGGCGACGACGGGUAGCCGGCCUGAGAGGGCGACCGGCCACACUGGGACUGAGACACGGCCCAGACUCCUACGGGAGGCAGCAGUGGGGAAUAUUGCACAAUGGGCGAAAGCCUGAUGCAGCGACGCCGCGUGAGGGAUGACGGCCUUCGGGUUGUAAACCUCUUUCAGCAGGGAAGAAGCGAAAGUGACGGUACCUGCAGAAGAAGCGCCGGCUAACUACGUGCCAGCAGCCGCGGUAAUACGUAGGGCGCAAGCGUUGUCCGGAAUUAUUGGGCGUAAAGAGCUCGUAGGCGGCUUGUCACGUCGGAUGUGAAAGCCCGGGGCUUAACCCCGGGUCUGCAUUCGAUACGGGCUAGCUAGAGUGUGGUAGGGGAGAUCGGAAUUCCUGGUGUAGCGGUGAAAUGCGCAGAUAUCAGGAGGAACACCGGUGGCGAAGGCGGAUCUCUGGGCCAUUACUGACGCUGAGGAGCGAAAGCGUGGGGAGCGAACAGGAUUAGAUACCCUG
rnacentral:rRNA from 1 species